rnacentral:tRNA from 1 species
GGCUUUUGUUUGGUAAUUGAUUAUUUUGAAGUUAAUCUAAAAACGUUCGAAUCGUUUAAAAGCUU